rnacentral:tRNA from 1 species
GGUAAAGUGACUGAGAUUAUAGGUGAUAGAUUGUAAAUCUAUUAAGGGGAUUAUGUCCUCUUUACCA